ACUGGUGAAAUCCUGGGCCACCAAAGCCUAGCGCAGGAACUCAACCACUGGGCCAGGAUGCAGCCCCUAUGCCAAUGGUUUUUAAUCUUUUCCUCCCUUCCUCUCUGCUUCAAUUUCUUCCUCUAAUUUUUUUAAAUAUCAGAGCAGAGCCCUGAAGAAAUUAAAUUAAAUUUUACACAGCUGACUAGUACUGAAAAUAGAUGAAAUCAGAGAAGCUUCAUCCAAAUGCACACUGCUGGCAGGAACCCUGGAACUUGCUGUAUGGUCUUCCCCCAGGUGGCUCGGGAGGCCCCUCUGUGGUGCCCCCUGUGGUUCUUUGACAGAUAGAUCCAAAUGGCAGCUUCAGGUAAUGGGAACUCCUUAAUGGAUUGUGGAACUGAGAAGACAGGACUUUUCCCAGCUGUGAGCCUUGAGAAAGUCAUGUAGCCUCUCCUGGGCUCAAUUUCUCCCUUCUAACACGGAGAUAAUAAUCCCUUCCAGAGAGGUCGUAGUGAUUAGAAACUAAGUACUUGGCAAAGUGCCUGGGGUGUAGGUGUUCAAAUAAAUGUAAUUGUGAAGUUAAUGAUCAUGACAAUGAUUAUGGAAACAGAGGGUGUCGCCAAGCACCGAGUUCCAAAUUCCCAAACUCAUUAUGAGAUCUGCAUUCGAUUGGAUUCUUGGCUGAUUUCAGUACCAGGUUCAAAAGACCCCGAACACUCUGCAGCCACCGUGAGGAGUUACCGCCUCUCUGCUUGUGUCCCUGUGGCUCGUCCUGGGGUGACUUACGUGGUGCUGCCAACGCCAUCUGCUCCAGAGCAGAAAGACUACUUAAUAGGCAAAAGCAACUGCCAGCUUAGGCUUCAAAGUACUCUUUUAGUUCCCUCCAGGGUGACCUGGUGUGACCGCCCUUUCUAGGUAAAGAGGAUUCUCUCUCCGUUUGACAGUAAAUCCUCAACCUGAGGAGAGAGAGGUCACGUCAGCCUGGCUGACUAAGUCACAGGAGUGCCCAGUUUUUACAGCUUGGUUCUCCCUAGCUAAGGCCAGUGUGCUCAUCACUCAGACUGUGAAUCCAGGCUGGUCUGCCUUGGGACCUGAUUGUUUCAGUGUUUCAGUACCACUGACUUGAGGGAAAAAAAAAUUUCUGGAAUAGUAGCAUGUUAAUUUUUAGCUGACGUUUUGAGAUGCAGUAACUCAUGGAUGUGGAUGGCCAGGAAGGGGAGACGGCAGGGGUGCAGGUAGAAGUGGGCUGGGGAAGAAAGGAGAGUGAAAUGUGUUGAGAUCAAGGUUUUCCAUUCUUAAAAAAUGAAGAUUUGAAGUAAAAAUUCAUUUUGCUGUAGGAAAAUAUUUAAAAAUCUUUUCCUUGCACACCUGACACUGGGUGAGCGGUGAAAUUGCAUCAGAUUCUUGCUGGGGACUCAGUCUGAAGCUCAAGUCCCCGACCCGACUGCUCUGCAGCAGGCGACUUUGGCAAAUUGCUUAAUAAUGAAAGCAAACGCAAGGUCGUUGUAGGAAAUUGGGAAAAUGCAAAAGUGCCUAAAUAAAGAGAAAAAAGACUCAUUUA